AUUGAACGCUGGCGGCAGGCCUAACACAUGCAAGUCGAACGAGUGGCGGACGGGUGAGUAAUGUCUGGGAAACUGCCUGACGGAGGGGGAUAACUACUGGAAACGGUAGCUAAUACCGCAUACCAUCAGAUGUGCCCAGAUGGGAUUAGCUAGUUGGUGGGGUAACGGCUCACCAAGGCGACGAUCCCUAGCUGGUCUGAGAGGAUAACCAGCCACACGGGAACUGGGACACGGUCCGGACUCCUACGGUAGGAGGCAGUGGGAAAUAUUGCACAAUGGGGAAAAGCCUAAUGAAGCCAUGCCGCGUGUAUUAAGAAGGCCUUCGGGUUGUAAGGUACUUUCAGCGGGGAGGCGUUACCCGCAGAAGAAGCACCGGCUAACUCCGUGCCAGCAGCCGCGGUAAUAC
rnacentral:rRNA from 1 species